rnacentral:lncRNA from 1 species
AAACCUCUGUCAGACGAAUCAAAGAUUCCAGCUGCCUGGUAGUGAUUGGUGAGCUAUUUAACCUCUGGCUCUGUUUCCGGAGCUCAAGGUAAAAAUCUUGAAGAACUCGAGCAGCUUCUGUGGAUAGCCUUGGGUACACAUACUGCCGAGCAUAGCCAAUGUACUUUCUCAAUAGCUGGUGGGGAAUGGGAUCUAUUGUUUCUCCAGGAACCACC